AGAGUUUGAUCCUGGCUCAGAACGAACGCUGGCGGCGUGGAUAAGACAUGCAAGUCGAGCGCUAAUUACAGGGUAGCAAUAUUCUGUAGUUGGAGCGGCGCAAGGGUGCGUAACACGUGGGUAAUCUGCCAUGAAGUUUGGGAUAACUCGCUGAAAGGCGAGCUAAUACCGGAUGUGAAAAUUGAAAGGCAUCUUUUGAUUUUCAAAGUUGGGGACCGUAAGGCCUGACGCUUCAUGAUGAGCCCGCGGCCUAUCAGCUAGUUGGUGAGGUAACGGCUCACCAAGGCUAAGACGGGUAGCUGGUCUGAGAGGACGACCAGCCACACUGGAACUGAGACACGGUCCAGACACCUACGGGUGGCAGCAGUCGAGAAUUUUUCACAAUGGGGGAAACCCUGAUGGAGCGACGCCGCGUGGGGGAUGAAUGGCUUCGGCCCGUAAACCCCUGUCAUUCGCGAACAAUGCCUGCGAUCUAACAAGUUGCAGGUUGAUAGUAGCGGAAGAGGAAGGGACGGCUAACUCUGUGCCAGCAGCCGCGGUAAUACAGAGGUCCCAAGCGUUGUUCGGAUUCACUGGGCGUAAAGGGUGCGUAGGCGGUCGGGUAAGUCUGAUGUGAAAUCUCACAGCUUAACUGUGAAACUGCAUUGGAUACUACUCGGCUUGAGAGUUGGAGGGGGGACUGGAAUUCUUGGUGUAGCAGUGAAAUGCGUAGAUAUCAAGAGGAACACCAGUGGCGAAGGCGAGUCCCUGGACAACUUCUGACGCUGAGGCACGAAAGCUAGGGGAGCAAACAGGAUUAGAUACCCUAGUAGUCC
rnacentral:rRNA from 1 species